rnacentral:rRNA from 1 species
UUAGGAAUCUUCCACAAUGGGCGAAAGCCUGAUGGAGCGACGCCGCGUGAGGGAUGAAGGCCUUAGGGUUGUAAACCUCUAAAAGAGGGACGAUAAUGACGGUACCUCUUGAAUAGCACCGGCUAACUCCGUGCCAGCAGCCGCGGUAAUACGGAGGGUGCAAGCGUUAUCCGGAAUCACUGGGCGUAAAGGGCGCGUAGGCGGGCUGUUAAGUCCGAUGUUAAAUCCCGGGGCUCAACCCCGGAUAAGCGUUGGAUACUGGCAGGCUAGACGGUUGGAGAGGCGAGUCGAAUUACCAGUGUAGCGGUGGAAUGCGUAGAUACUGGUAGGAACACCCAUUGCGAAGGCAGCUCGCUGGACAACACGUGACGCUGAGGCGCGAAAGUGUGGGG